CCUACGGGUGGCAGCAGUGAGGAAUAUUGGUCAAUGGACGCAAGCCUGAACCAGCCAUGUCGCGUGCAGGAAGACUGCCCUAUGAGUUGUAAACUGCUUUUGUACGAGGGUAAACGCAGAUACGUGUACCUGUCUGUAUGUAUCUUAUGAAUAAGGAUCGGCUAACUCCGUGCCAGCAGCCGCGGUAAUACGGAGGAUCCAAGCGUUAUCCGGAUUUAUUGGGUUUAAAGGGUGCGUAGGUGGUCGGAUAAGUUAGAUGUGAAAGCCCGAGGCUCAACUGCGGAAUUGCAUCUGAUACUGUCCGGCUAGAGAGUAGUUGCGGUAGGCGGAAUGUAUGGUGUAGCGGUGAAAUGCUUAGAGAUCAUACAGAACACCGAUUGCGAAGGCAGCUUACCAAGCUGCUUCUGACGUUGAGGCACGAAAGCGUGGGGAGCAAACAGGAUUAGAUACCCGUGUAGUC
rnacentral:rRNA from 1 species